rnacentral:rRNA from 1 species
UACGUAGGGUGCAAGCGUUUAAUCGGAAUUACUGGGCGUAAAGCGUGCGCAGGCGGUGAUGUAAGACAGGUGUGAAAUCCCCGGGCUUAACCUGGGAACUGCAUUUGUGACUGCAUCGCUGGAGUGCGGCAGAGGGGGGAUGGAAUUCCGCGUGUAGCAGUGAAAUGCGUAGAUAUGCGGAGGAACACCGAUGGCGAAGGCAAUCCCCCUGGACCUGUACUGACGCUCAUGCACGAAAGCG